UACAGAGGUCCCAAGCGUUGUUCGGAUUCAUUGGGCGUAAAGGGUGCGCAGGCGGUUAGGUAAGUCAGGUGUGAAAUCUCAGGGCUCAACCCUGAAACUGCACUUGAUACUGCUUGACUAGAGGACUGGAGAGGUGAUCGGAAUUCACGGUGUAGCAGUGAAAUGCGUAGAUAUCGUGAGGAAGGCCAGCGGCGAAGGCGGAUCACUGGACAGUUCCUGACGCUCAGGCACGAAGGCCAGGGGAGCAAACGGG
rnacentral:rRNA from 1 species